rnacentral:lncRNA from 1 species
AGAGACAAGGCCUCACUAUGUUGCCCAGGCUGGUCUCGAACUCCUGGGCUCAAGCAAUCCUCCCACCUUAGCCUCCUGGGGACCUGGCAUGCAAUCACAGAUGUGUGCCAGUGUGUCUUGGCACAGGAUUCACUUGCUUUCCAGCAAAUUGCAACAGGAGGUCACAGAGCAACAGAACCGAGAUCUGAUCCAAGUGUCUGUGGAGGGUGCAGCUGCCAGACCCUGUGGCGAGGUCAAAUGUGCAGAGCUGUGACAAUCCAAGCCUG